GUGUGUGUGUGUGUGUGUGUGUGUGUGUGUGUGUGUGUGUGUGUGUGUGUGUGUGUGUGUGUGUGUGUGUGUGUGUGUGUGUGUGUGUGUGUGUGUGUGUGUGUGUGUGUGUGUGUGUGUGUACCUGCCAUAUUGAACUGACAAAUUCCGUAUUAUAGUGUAUUGUUUGUGUAUACCUUUUGUACAAAUGUAUUCACGUACUAUAUGCUGUUCCUGCUAACUGUUGGGUGUUGAUUGAUCUUGUAUUAUCAUGUCAAAAUGCAGUGUUAUUGUGAAAGAUAGUCAGGGAGAUAUCUUAGUCCAUGCCAUAUGCCAUUCUGUUGUAAUUCUAAGAAAAGGGAUACACAAACAAGUUCAAAGCAUAUGUGUGUACAAGUGCUUUGUGCGUGUGCAUCUGUGUAUGUAUGUGAUAUUAUCAUUUUAAGCCAGUAGCCAUGAAAUAAAUUAUUGUAUUGAUCUCCGGUCAAGAUUCAUUUAAUAGAGGAAUAGAUAUGUCACUCUGGUCAAAUGUCAUUUUAGAACUCUAUGACUUUACAUAUAACUGAAUAUAUAUGUUUCUCAGAGUGCAAGCAAAGUAAGAUGUAUGUUUUUCAGAUUAUAGGAAAUAAAUCAGAUUCUAUCA